GGUUCACAGCUCAGUGGUAGAGCACUUGCCUCGCAUGUACACGGUCCUGGGUUGGAUCCCCAGCACCA
rnacentral:tRNA from 1 species